GUCUCCGAUGAUGAUCCAUUUAUACUUUCGUUCUUCUGAAAUUCUCGGUGUGGAAGAACUGGAGACCUGAACUGAGGAGAC